rnacentral:rRNA from 1 species
UACGUAGGGGGCAAGCGUUGUCCGGAUUUAUUGGGCGUAAAGAGCGUGUAGGCGGCCAGACAGGUCCGUUGUGAAAACUCGAGGCUCAACCUCGAGAUGUCGAUGGAAACCGUCUGGCUAGAGUCCGGAAGAGGAGUGUGGAAUUCCUGGUGUAGCGGUGAAAUGCGCAGAUAUCAGGAAGAACACCCGUGGCGAAGGCGGUUCUCUGGGACGGUACUGACGCUGAGACGCGAAAGCGUGGGGAGCGAACAGG